rnacentral:tRNA from 1 species
GGGGGUACAGCUCUGUAGUAGAGCAUUUCACUGCAGCUCAAGUAGUUCACUGGUUCAAAUUCAGGUGCCCCCU